rnacentral:rRNA from 1 species
GAUGAACGCUGGCGGCGUGCCUAAUACAUGCAAGUCGAGCGAACAGACGAGGAGCUUGCUCCUCUGACGUUAGCGGCGGACGGGUGAGUAACACGUGGAUAACCUACCUAUAAGACUGGGAUAACUUCGGGAAACCGGAGCUAAUACCGGAUAAUAUAUUGAACCGCAUGGUUCAAUAGUGAAAGACGGUUUUGCGGUCUCUUCUAGAUGGAUCCGCGCCGCAUUAGCUAGUUGGUAAGGUAACGGCUUACCAAGGCAACGAUGCGUAGCCGACCUGAGAGGGGGAUCGGCCACACUGGAACUGAGACACGGUCCAGACUCCUACGGGAGGCAGCAGUAGGGAAUCUGCCGCAAUGGGCGAAAGCAUGACGGAGCAACGCCGCGUGUGUGAUGAAGGUCUUCGGAUCGUAAAACUCUGUUAUUAGUGAAGAACAAAUGUGUAAGUAACUAUGCACGUCUUGACGGUACCUAAUCAGAAAGCCACGGCUAACUACGUG